UACGGGGGAGCAAGCGUUGUUCGGAUUUACUGGGCGUAAAGGGCGCGUAGGCGGUCAGCACAAGUCAGUUGUGAAAUCUCCGGGCUUAACUCGGAAAGGUCAACUGAUACUGUGCGACUAGAGUGCAGAAGGGGCAACUGGAAUUCUCGGUGUAGCGGUGAAAUGCGUAGAUAUCGAGAAGAACACCUGCGGCGAAGGCGGGUUGCUGGGCUGACACUGACGCUGAUGCGCGAAAGCCAGGGGAGCGAACGGG
rnacentral:rRNA from 1 species